GGUGGUACUGCGUGGUGGAUUAUAUUGCUUCUUACUCUCUGCAUUGGUUCUGAUGCUGUGCUUUAAGGUGGGGAUUCGGAUCUGUAGCAGGUAAGGUAAUUUAAUCUGUAUUGGGGAAAGUUGGACCCUUUUAGACUUAUAAGACUUAAUUUUUGUACCUGUGGUGUAUACUUAAUUAUGGCUAGCUGUCUUUUUUUAAGUUAAUGCAAUGGCGGCAUGGAAU
rnacentral:misc_RNA from 1 species